rnacentral:rRNA from 1 species
CUAAGCAUAUCAAUAAGCGGAGGAAAAGAAACCAACAGGGAUUGCCCUAGUAACGGCGAGUGAAGCGGCAACAGCUCAAAUUUGAAAUCUGGCUCUCGGGCCCGAGUUGUAAUUUGUAGAGGAUACUUUUGAUGCGGUGCCUUCCGAGUUCCCUGGAACGGGACGCCAUAGAGGGUGAGAGCCCCGUCUGGUUGGAUGCCAAAUCUCUGUAAAGUUCCUUCGACGAGUCGAGUAGUUUGGGAAUGCUGCUCUAAAUGGGAGGUAUAUGUCUUCUAAAGCUAAAUACCGGCCAGAGACCGAUAGCGCACAAGUAGAGUGAUCGAAAGAUGAAAAGCACUUUGAAAAGAGAGUUAAAAAGUACGUGAAAUUGUUGAAAGGGAAGCGUUUAUGACCAGACUUGGGCUUGGUUAAUCAUCUGGGGUUCUCCCCAGUGCACUUUUCCAGUCCAGGCCAGCAUCAGUUUUCGCCGGGGGAUAAAGACUUCGGGAAUGUGGCUCUCUUCGGGGAGUGUUAUAGCCCGUUGUGUAAUACCCUGGCGGGGACUGAGGUUCGCGCAUCUGCAAGGAUGCUGGCGUAAUGGUCAUCAACGACCCGUCUUGAAACACGGACCAAGGAGUCGUCUUCGUAUGCGAGUGUUCGGGUGUCAAACCCCUACGCGUAAUGAAAGUGAACGCAGGUGAGAGCUUCGGCGCAUCAUCGACCGAUCCUGAUGUUCUCGGAUGGAUUUGAGUAAGAGCAUACGGGGCCGGACCCGAAAGAAGGUGAACUAUGCCUGUAUAGGGUGAAGCCAGAGGAAACUCUGGUGGAGGCUCGCAGCGGUUCUGACGUGCAAAUCGAUCGUCAAAUAUGGGCAUGGGGGCGAAAGACUAAUCGAACCUUCUAGUAGCUGGUUUCCGCCGAAGUU